CACGUAGGGUGCGAGCGUUGUCCGGAAUUAUUGGGCGUAAAGAGCUCGUAGGCGGUGUGUCGCGUCGGCCGUGAAAACCUGCAGCUUAACUGUGGGCUUGCGGUCGAUACGGGCAUCACUGGAGUUCGGCAGGGGGGACUGGAAUUCCUGGUGUAGCGGUGAAAUGCGCAGAUAUCAGGAGGAACACCGGUGGCGAAGGCGGGUCUCUGGGCCGAUACUGACGCUGAGGCGCGAAAGCGUGGGGAGCAAACGGG
rnacentral:rRNA from 1 species